rnacentral:snRNA from 1 species
UUCGCUAUCCCCAAGCAUCAAUAAAAAAUAUUUCUGUUCAUAUCAGCUUAAUAUCUGAUGCGGGUCCUAUUUGGACCAAAGAUAUUAAACUCAUUUUUGGAAUUGGGCGGAGUGCUUGAAGCUUGCUUCACCUCCGCCACGGGUUGGCCCAGUAUUUAACUGCCUCCGGGAUCGGCCCACUCACC